rnacentral:rRNA from 1 species
UACGUAGGGUGCGAGCGUUGUCCGGAAUUACUGGGCGUAAAGAGCUCGUAGGUGGUUUGUCGCGUUGUUCGUGAAAACUCACAGCUUAACUGUGGGCGUGCGGGCGAUACGGGCAGACUGGAGUACUGCAGGGGAGACUGGAAGUUCCUGGUGUAGCGGUGGAAUGCGCAGAGUAUCAGGAGGAACACCGGUGGCGAAGGCGGGUCUCUGGGCAGUAACUGACGCUGAGGAGCGAAAGCGUGGGGAGCGAACAGG